rnacentral:rRNA from 1 species
UUGAUCCUGGCUCAGAGUGAACGCUAGCGGCGUGGUUAUGACAUGCAAGUCGAACGAUGAAGCCCAGCUUGCUGGGCGGAUUAGUGGCAUACGGGUGCGUAACACGUGAGCAACCUGCCUUGAAGUGGGGAAUAGCCCGGGGAAACCCGGAUUAAUACCGCAUGUGGUCUCUUUUCGCAUGAAAAGACGACUAAAGUCUGUAAUGACUCUUCAAGAGGGGCUCGCGGCCUAUCAGCUUGUUGGUGAGGUAAAGGCUCACCAAGGCAAAGACGGGUAGCUGGUCUGAGAGGAUGAUCAGCCACACUGGAACUGAGAUACGGUCCAGACACCUACGGGUGGCAGCAGUUUCGAAUCAUUCACAAUGGGGGAAACCCUGAUGGUGCAACGCCGCGUGGAGGAUGACGGCCUUCGGGUUGUAAACUCCUGUCACCAAGGAACAAACGGCAGGUUCAUAGCCUGUCCUGAGUUAACUUGGAGAGGAAGAGGUGGCUAACUCCGUGCCAGCAGCCGCGGUAAUACGGAGACCUCGAGCGUUACUCGGAUUCACUGGGCGUAAAGAGUAUGUAGGCGGUUUGGUAUGUCAGGUGUGAAAGCCCGAAGCUCAACUUCGGAAUUGCGCCUGAAACUACCGGACUUGAGGCCUGGAGAGGGGAGUGGAAUUCCUGGUGUAGCGGUGAAAUGCGUAGAUAUCAGGAGGAACACCAAUGGCGAAGGCAGCUCCCUGGACAGGUUCUGACGCUGAGAUACGAAAGCGUGGGUAGCGAAAGGGAUUAGAUACCCCUGUAGUCCACGCCGUAAACGUUGUACACUAGGUUUCGGAGGGCCUAACCCUUCGGAGCUCAAGCUAACGCGAUAAGUGUACCGGCUGAGGACUACGG